CUCUCUCUACCACGUUGCCGCCUCCUUACAUUCUAUUAUUGCAAUUUGCAACCCCCCUCAUCAUGCCUUUCUUCACACCACACCAAAGUUAACGCUGUGCAAUUCAAUCAAUAUAAUGCUCAAGCUCAACACACACAUGAAUAUUGAACAAAGUUCAUGUAGAUGCUGGUAUUAUAUUAUACGGAGAUCAACGAAGAAAAUACUACAUACAUGGAAAAUGAUCUCGUUUUUCUUUUCAUUAAAAGUGUUGAGACUUGAGACUUGAGAGCAAUGGGCGAUUGGGCGGUGCCCGUCUGGUAGCGCUUGAUGAAUUGACAAAAUUACCCUCUUCAUGCGCUCUGAUUGGCUAAGAAGUAAGAACCCCUUCCUUCGUCUUAAAAGACAUAUUUGGUGCGAGCGAGAGUGACGUGGCAAGUUGUGGGCUGCCGGCAGUGGGUGCGUCACUGCUUACUACUCUCUCCUCUUUCCUCCCAAAGCCCAACAAACUACUCCUCUUCACGUUUUCCAGCGCGCGAGCUGUUCUCUCUUCACUUCUUCUUCCUCCUCCUUCAGCGUAGCUCCUCCACCUCUCGUUCGUUUUUCACCAGAUCACGGUGAUGGUUAUGUUCAGCUCUUCUCAUCGCCGCGAUCUCUACGGGAAAAAAAUGAAGGGUGAAAAGGAAUCAUACUUCCACUCUAUUGCAUAUACGUGUUGGAUUUUAUUUGGCAAGUAUCACCCUUAACGUGCGAUAGGAUCAAUAUCCUGUCCUAUGGUGCCUUAACUAGGUUGGCUGGCUGUAUGAUCACAACAAUGGUGAGGAUCUUUCCUUCACAUGUCAGUGGUUUCGUCUGUUAAUGGUAUGACAGUUCUAAACUUUAUAUAGCAAGAAAGACUGCGUGAUCACAACAUGGUAAGGAUCUUACCUUCACAUGCCAGCAGUUUUGUCUAUUAAUGGCAUGACAGUUUCUAAAACUUUAUCUAUAUAGCAAGAAAGGAAGGUUGAUGAACCACAAUUUGUGAUAAGCUCUUGACCAGUUAAACUAAAUUGAAUUAUCUAUGUAUCAAGAAUUAACAAAUAGAUUAUUUGUGGUUUCCAGUCUUAAAUGGCUGAAGCUUAUAAUUGGUAAAUUAAAUGGAUAUAAAAUGCAUAUUUUCAGGGUUUUAGAUAUAUUAUAUUUCAUAUAUACAAUUGCAUUUGGCGGAAGCAUCAUUAAAGCUUAAGGGUAUGAUCGGGAAGGAGUGCCUUAGAGAGAUUUGGGAUAGCCCCUAUUGUAGAUAAGAUGUUGGAAUAUCAUCUUAGGUAGUUCAGACACAUGUAGCAAGAAGACUUGUAGAGGCCUGGUAAGGAAAUCAGAUCAAAUGUAUAUUCAUGGAGUCUUGGAGAAUAGGUCUUUGUUUAACCAUAAGGUAACUUUAUGACCUGGAGGUCACAGGUUCAAAUCUUGGAAAUAUCCUCUAUUUGUGAGAAUAAGGCUAUCUACAUACUCCCUUUUCAGACCAUAUGAAGUGGAAGUCUCGUGCACUUGGCUGCCAUCUUUCAGUUUGGGAUUAAAAGUAAAUAUGCUUCCAAAUGUUGGGUAGGUAGCCUGUGUCUCUGGCUAUGUAAAUUUGUGGUCCAGGAUCAAGAUGUAGUUUUCUAUCAAUGCAACUAAAUCCAUUUAGAGUAUUUAGAGUGAUAGGCUUCUCUAAUGAAGCUUGUUAGUGUUGGGCAAGAGAAGCUGUUCAUGCAUAGCCUAGCAUAGUUUCUUGACUGUUGGCAAAGUCUUUGUGGAGUUGACAAUGAUUGGGCAGCAAGACUUUCUAGGUACACUGAAAUGUUCAAUCAUGCUCACACUCCAAAUUAUGUGAUGCAUCUGUAGACUUGCACAAUUCUUUUGCAUUUCGUAUGUCCCUAUAAUUUUUGAUAAAUUUCACUAUUUGAGGAAAUCAUUAUGUUUGGUGGCGAGGCACAUUCUCAUUCUUGCAUUUUUGGCUUUCUCAAAAUAGCAAAUCAUUACCCUCUCCAAAGUAACAGAUAUCAUGAAGUGGAUGGAGUAGUAUUACUAUAUGUGGAAAAUAGCAUAUAAAUAUAUAUAUUUACCUUUCUCAAAACAGAAAAUCUUUGCCCUCUACAUGUGUUUUCUUUUGAUUAGAUUAUCUUCUUUUUUUUCUUUCUUUUUCCUUUUGUGCAUAUUGUAUUCUGUCUGAUCCUCAUACCGGUACCUAUACAACUUAAUAUUGUACUUUUCCACUUUAGUGUAUAAAUAAAUGUAGUCUUUAUGAGAAAGGUGUUUGUAGGAUUUGUAUCUUGAUAUACAUGCUUUUGGUUGCCUUAUUCUAUAUAUAUCCUCAGAUCAGCUGUUUAUAAUUACAAUUUUCGCUACAACAUUGUCCUUUAUAAACAUAAUAGUGGAGAUGGUAGGCAGGAAGUAUUGAGGACCAACAAACUGGAUUUUGAAAACUGUGCUUUAUUUAAAGGAAAAACCUGCUGUGUAUUGAUCAAGUUUCAAUGUUUUCCCUGCUCACAUUAGCAUAACAUAUAAAGUUCGCUUUAUAUUGCCUGUCCCCUGUUCACAAGUCCCCAGUCUUGAAUUUUUCAUAAAGUUAGAAUUCCAUUUACUCUUGGACUUCUGCUUUUUCCUAAAUUCUAAUGAGGACUUGAACUUAACUAACCUUUUUCGGUCCCAUUGAUUAAUAUCAUUUUAAAAUGUGUAAUUUUAAUAGCUUAAUGCUGUGAGGGAUACUUUCUGUGUUUACUUCCAAAGCUCAUACUGUUCUACAAUCAUCAGGAGGCAUAGGAAUAAUGUGAAUAUUUGUGUCUACUGUUGAGAGUUUGGCACUGACAAAUCAAUAAUUUGUUUCUGCUCCGUGCGUGAAAUGUCAAUUGAGGUCAUACAAGUAAUUAUAUUAGGAGUUUUUGUAAUUGAGGGUUAUCGGUUGACAAUCUCAAUUGGCGUAACAGGUACGCACAAAAUUGUGGGUUGCUCAUAUUAUAAGUUCCUUUUUGGGAAUUCUUCUUACGUGGUGCCUUAUCUUGAGUGUUCCUGCUUGAAGUUUGCUUUUUUGUGGAAUAGAGCUUUAUAGCUUAUCCAGGGUUGAUGCAUAUCAUCUUUCCAUGUUGCUCCUUGCACUCUUGAUUCAUCUGCAAGAAGAAGUUUUAGGUUAGUGAUGGCAAUUGCAUUCAAUUUGUGUUGCGAAUAAUUCAUAAACCAUGUGGAUCCAGUAAUUUGUCUUGCCACUUCUCUUCUUAGUUCCGAUAUGGUUGUAUUUAGCCCUUGAUUUGAAUGAUUCUAAGUGCUAAACCUUUUGAAAAACUUUGACGCAGAACCUCAUAUGUUGCAUGCUUGUGAUGCUAAGUGAUAAACCUUUAGAAGACAUUUCUAAUUUUCUGUCUUGUUAUAAUUUAUACUCACUCUCGUGUGAGUUUCAGCACUUGACAUGUAGCUCUAACAUUAGAAGUCUAAUUAAUUAGGAAGUCUGCAAAACUUUAAACAGAAGCUCAUAUGAUGCAUGCUUGUAGAAUGCCAAAUAUUUUCUGACUUAAGGUUAAGAAAAUUCAUUGUGUGCCAUGAUCCACUGUGUGCAUGCACAGUUGUCACCCUUCCCCCGCGGUCACCAAAAAAAAAAGAGUAAAAAUAAAAUAAAAAAUAAAAAGAAAGAAAGAAUAACAGAGAAAGAUUAUGAUUAUCUUUGUUGCUAUCAUGAUAGUAGUGAUUCACCAUAUGGCUAGUUUGCUUUGCCUCCUGUAAUGCAAAUGUUCUGGAUGAAUGUCAGAAAUGACAGCUUCUCUGCGACCCACAGCAUCAUGUGUGGAUUGGUGAAUUGUUUUUCAUCCCUUAUUUCUACUUUAGAAUCUGCAGCAGAGUAGGUAUGUAGUUGUGGCAACUAUUCCUUCUCUUUUUGUAACAUCAGUUAUCUUGCAUCUAUAUGAGAAAUUGUUGAUACUCGAGUCAUGUGUUUUAUGCUUGCCCCAGCAAAGGUUUAUACCUUGCUUUUAAAAGGUGCCUAAAAUCUAUUUAAAUUUGUUUAGAAUCAAUGGUAAAAAGUCUUCAAUAAAAAAUGUGAAUAUAUGUUUUUGUGUGCUUCUGUCUCUGAGAUUUUCCUACUAUCUUUUAGACAACUGUGCUGAGUUGAUGUUUGUAGUUGAAUCCUUUAUUUCUUCAGGAAUUCUAUUUUUGCAUUAUGUAAUGGGGUUGGUUUAUACAAGAUUAUUGUGUUUGAUUCAGGAUAUUGGCUCCCUCUUUGUAGUUAUCAGUACUGCUAAAAAUUUGUUCUGAAAAGACAUGAUUCAUACUUAUUACUUGAUGCGAAAACAAAAACAACUAUGGCCUACAUAGUUUCUGUUAAUGUUUUAUAUUGCUGAUUGAAGGUAUAGGCACAGGUGGUGGUGUUUGGAAUUCCAUUCCAUUGAUUUUAACAAAUGUAGAAAUUAUAUAAAACAUUACCAGGCACAGUGGUUGAUAUCUUUAUUGCAUAAAAUUUACAUAGGUAGUCAUUGUCUGAUCCUUGAAGGCAAUGCAAGCUUCUAGAUAGAUAAUUGCAUACCAAUAUGCUUUGUAUUGUUGCAUCAAAUAAAUGUGAUUGUUGAAGUACAAGAUCUCACUGAUAAAAGCUUCAUUAUAAGUAGUACAAGUUGUUGACAGCAGCUCAGAAAUGGUAAUCAUCCACGAUUCUUGAACAGUUUUUGUUAUUGCAGCUGCAGUCUGAUGCAGAAAUUUGGUUUCUAAUUUUAACGAAAUUAUAAAGUAAAUGUAUAGAAAAGAACUGUGUUAUUAUUGGUGUGAGGAAAUACCCCAGUUUCAUUGCUUUGGCAGGUGGUUCAGUGUAUUGAGUCUCUGGCUGGCUUAGUUGGAGACUGAUAGGUGCAAGUAAGUCAUAUCCAUUUCCGAUAGUGUAUGGAGGAUUGGAUGCUGCAUUUUCUCCAUUUGUACUCCUUGCUUCAUAAACCUGACAUGAAAAUCUUCUUUUUAGGUUUAGCUAUAGUGAAGCUGAAGGCGUUAACUUCAAGAUAAAUAGUUCGCCUAAGAAAUGCCUGGAAUCUGUUUUGGAUGAACAACAGAUUCAUAAAUUAUGAACAGAGUUUCUUCGUCAGUUACCUUUUUUAGCUCUGCAUUUUCUUUUUGGAAAUAAUGAUGUAAGGUCUUGAACAUGCAGUCAAAAAAGGUGAAAUUUUAAACUAAUUGAAGAGAGAUUAUUUGCACCAACUCAUGAUACCUUUUUCAUGCGAACACCCUUUAAACUCAUCUCCAGUUGGUUUUCAAGAUUUUGUAGUUCUUGAACACCCAGUCCAGAAAGCUCUUCGCCCAUCAGUUUCCUGCUUUUACCAAGAAGAAAAUAUGAAAUGCCUUAUCUCGUUUUUGGAAAAUUUCAUAAGGUUUGGACUCUUGCUAGCUAGAGUUAUUGAAUUUACUAAGUUUUUGGAUUAGCAGUACACAUUUCAAUAUAGUGGUUUUAUUGACAGUUUCAUAAGAUUUUAUCUGUUGUGAUCGUGCUAUUGAUUAACAUUUUGUUCAAAAGAGUGUUAGAAUCUCAUCAUAGCUAAGAAACAAUGUGGAAUAUUAUACUACUUAGUUAUUAUCAAUAUAAUAUUCUUUCAAAAUUGCUUCUAAUUUAUUGUAUUUUCCUUAGGGACUAAUUGAACCUCCUCUAAAUUAUUGAUUUGUGUGGUUGCUGAGGUAUUUGACUUACUAAUUAAAAGACUACUAGGGAUACUUUCUAAUAGGUGCAAAGUUUAUGCAUGGGGAUGCAUGGGAGGGAGUAGCGGAUAGGAAGCAAGGAUGGAUAUUGUUUUUUAUUUUUGUUGAGGUUUAGGAAGGGGUUGGGAAAGGCCGAUGACAUCAGUAAUUGUGUCAAUGUUCUAGUGAAGUUUUUAUUUGCCGGAAAAUGUGGUAUAACGUAUAUUUUUUCUUGCUUCAAGUAUUAUCUAUAUUAUUUGACUGUUUGUUACCUGUGGCAUUCUUGCAAGUGCUGCAGUUGUUGCCUCAAGCUUGCAGCUUCUCUCUGCCAAAACUAGCAAGUAGAAAUACAGAUGUCAAACGUAUAUUGUACUAUUAUUACAAAAAUGGAAUAUUUUGAAUGCGAGAAUUGUUAGGUAGUAAAUGUGAGGACUAAAAUAUGGAGAAGUAACAACGGAGUGCUCUUCAGGCAAAACUAAUCUAAGCCUGAGUUGGAUGCUGGUCUCUUUUUAGUAGAAAUGCAAUCUAUGGUUUGCUUACUUUGUAAUGUAAGUGAAUUCUAACUUCCCAAGUAUUGGUGUUCACCUUGUAGGAGAUUCAUUAUUGGCUCAAUCAGAGUAAAAUCUAUGAUCUACGCUUCUUAUGUGUUUUGUCAAGUGGAUUCUCUGAACUUGUAACCCCAACCGAGAUGUUCUUGUAUGGUUAUAAGUCUAACACCUCAUGGUUAGGCAUACAAUAAAAGUGAAUAUUAUCAGCUUAAUACACUUGCUUGUUUACCGAUUCCACCAAUUUAAUUGUGUUCCUAUAUAAGGAGUCAAAAUGUGUCCAUUAAUGGAUUUCUCAUGUAAUAUAUCAAGUCGGUUAACUAUGUAUUACAAUUCAGAAAGUAUGUAAUUUUCUAUGGUAAUUACAUAAAAACCUACGUGCAGUAAUGGUGGUUGGAUGCCUAACAGGAGGAUCUCAAAAGUUGUGUUGUGUUUCUUGACCAAUCAAAAGAGAACCUGCAUUUUCCUUAGUGCUGUCAUGAGCCAUGCUAUGAGUACACUAUAUGUGUGCGGAGGCUGAGAUUUUGACAGGACUUCGUGUGUGAGGGUUUAUAAUACUCACUAUAUAACCGGGGAGGGCUAUUUGUCUGCAAAUACAGUAAUGCUUGAUUUGUGCAGCUAAUCAUAUCUGUUGAGAGGUUCAUGCAGGUGGAUAAGAUAAUCCUUGGCAUACUAAAGCUAAGACUGAGCAUAUGCAUGUGAGGUGCUACUAUCAAAUGGCACUAGUAUUUAGCUUUAUCAAGAUAGCAGUGUCAUAUCAGGUAUAGCCGUUUAGGGUCUCUGAAACACUUCCAUAUGUGGGCAUGAGACAUGAUAAUGACUCUCAUUCUAUUGGGGGACAUCAAGGCGAUGAAUCCAUGAUAUAACUUAAAUGCAUGCUGUACUACCUAAGUCAUAUUUCUACGGUUUAAUGUUACCCCCUGCCAAUUUGUCAUAAAGCUUGUGAGGUUUAGGGUUAAGGAGAGUUUUGCCAAAGGUGGUGGUAUGUGGGCAUUAUUAGUCUCUUUGGUAGCUUUUUGUAUCUUCUCCUGCAAAAUAACAGUGAUAUUGCUGUUCGCAAAGUACCUAGGAUUUGAGCAAGAAUAUGUGUGCCAAGAAGUAAACAACUGAUAUUAUUAUUUAGUUCAGCUGGUAAUUCCUUUUC